rnacentral:rRNA from 1 species
CCUACGGGUGGCAGCAGUGGGGAAUAUUGGACAAUGGGGGGAACCCUGAUCCAGCCAUGCCGCGUGUGUGAAGAAGGCCCUCGGGUUGUAAAGCACUUUCAGUGAGGAAGAACGCCUGGUGGUUAAUAUCCAUCAGGAAAGACAUCACUCACAGAAGAAGCACCGGCUAACUCCGUGCCAGCAGCCGCGGUAAUACGGAGGGUGCGAGCGUUAAUCGGAAUUACUGGGCGUAAAGCGCGCGUAGGUGGCUUGAUAAGCCGGUUGUGAAAGCCCCGGGCUCAACCUGGGAACGGCAUCCGGAACUGUCAAGCUAGAGUGCAGGAGAGGAAGGUAGAAUUCCCGGUGUAGCGGUGAAAUGCGUAGAGAUCGGGAGGAAUACCAGUGGCGAAGGCGGCCUUCUGGACUGACACUGACACUGAGGUGCGAAAGCGUGGGUAGCAAACAGGAUUAGAUACCCCGGUAGUC